rnacentral:rRNA from 1 species
GCAUGUCUAAGUAUAAGCAAUUUAUACAGUGAAACUGCGAAUGGCUCAUUAAAUCAGUUAUCGUUUAUUUGAUAGUACCUUACUACUUGGAUAACCGUGGUAAUUCUAGAGCUAAUACAUGCUUAAAAUCCCGACUGUUUGGAAGGGAUGUAUUUAUUAGAUAAAAAAUCAAUGUCUUCGGACUCUUUGAUGAUUCAUAAUAACUUUUCGAAUCGCAUGGCCUUGUGCUGGCGAUGGUUCAUUCAAAUUUCUGCCCUAUCAACUUUCGAUGGUAGGAUAGUGGCCUACCAUGGUUUCAACGGGUAACGGGGAAUAAGGGUUCGAUUCCGGAGAGGGAGCCUGAGAAACGGCUACCACAUCCAAGGAAGGCAGCAGGCGCGCAAAUUACCCAAUCCCGACACGGGGAGGUAGUGACAAUAAAUAACGAUACAGGGCCCUUUCGGGUCUUGUAAUUGGAAUGAGUACAAUGUAAAUACCUUAACGAGGAACAAUUGGAGGGCAAGUCUGGUGCCAGCAGCCGCGGUAAUUCCAGCUCCAAAAGCGUAUAUUAAAGUUGUUGCAGUUAAAAAGCUCGUAGUUGAACCUUGGGCUUGGUUGGCCGGUCCAUCUUUCUGAUGCGUACUGGACCCAACCGAGCCUUUCCUUCUGGCUAGCCUUUUGGCGAACCAGGACUUUUACUUUGAAAAAAUUAGAGUGUUCAAAGCAGGCCUUUGCUCGAA